AGGGAUUUAGCUCAGCGGCAUAAGCACCUGCCUUACAAGCAGGCGGUCGUGAGUUCGAUCCCCAGUACCAA
rnacentral:tRNA from 1 species